rnacentral:lncRNA from 1 species
CCAGGCUUCAAGCUGCAGCAGGGGCUUCCUGGCAGGUUCUUCCAGGUCACUGAGGGUUGGGCCAAGACAGGGUCUGCACAGGGUGGCUGGUGGUUGAUGUCCAGAUGCCCAGAGGCUCUGGGAUGUUGGUUCUCUCCUAGCAUGGAUUUGUCCCAAGAAUUUUCUAGACUUGCCUGAUGGGCUUUGGCCAGCUCAAAGCUUCCUCCCCUCCCAAGCAGAUGGUGAACAGCAGAGAUGGCCUGUUAAACCAGGGUCAGCUGCUAAAGACCCCUGUUCUCCUCCCAUCCCAGGGCAGUGCCCCCUUCCUGAGAACAGACCUGGAGCCUGGGCCUCAGCCCUGACAUCCAGUCUGGGGUUAGCACGGAAGAGAUUGCAGGGGCUCCCCUUGACCCAAGCAGGAUGCAGGCCUUGUCCCUGCCUCUGCUCCCAUGUGGGCCACCCACUCUACUAGCAGCCCCAUGACCCCUGUCAGGUCCCUUCCUCCUGACCACCUUCCCAGACAUGGCUGCUAGGGAAUGGGGUUCACAUGGUUCAUAGCUCUCCCUUCUCCUGGGUAGGUUGAAGAAUGGGGUGGGGACAACAGAUUCCACCCUCCCUCCUGACUUGGUGCUUGCAGGUGGUGGCCGUGGUGAUGGACAUGUUCACUGAUGUGGACUUGCUCAGCGAAGUGCUGGAGGCUGCUGCACGCAGGGUCCCCGUCUAUAUCCUGCUGGAUGACAUGAAUGCACAACACUUUCUGGACAUGGCGGAAAAAUGCCGAGUCAACCUGCACCACGUGGAUGUGAGUGAGUGGACAGGUGGGGUGGACCGGGAAAGACCCUGGCGAAGACCUGACUCCCCUCCCUCCUCAGUUCCUGCGUGUGCGCACUGUGGCUGGCCCCACCUAUUAUUGCCGCACUGGGAAGUCUUUCAAGGGCCACGUGAAAGAGAAGUUCCUGCUUGUAGACUGUGCCGUGGUGAUGAGCGGGAGCUACAGGUGUGCGGUGUGCCCAGCUGGGUGUCGGUCCCUACCCCUCCCCUCUCUGGAGCCUCCCUGGGUGUCCCCGCCCCUCCUCACCAGGAGCACUCCUGUAGACCCUGAUAGCCUGGCCUGGCCCAGGUCCUAACACACCCUGGGACUCUGUGUGUCCCACCCAGCGCUGCAGGCCAGUGCUCCCUCACUCCGUUCUUGACUCUGACCCCCACCCACUCACCCACAGCUUCAUGUGGUCCUUCGAGAAGAUCCACCGCAGCCUGGCACACGUGUUCCAGGGAGAGCUGGUCUCCAGCUUCGACGAAGAGUUCCGCAUCCUCUUCGCACAGUCUGAGCCCUUGGUGCCCUCAGCUGGGGCGCUGGCCCGCGUGGACACUUAUGCCUUGGCUCCAUACUCCGGGGCGGGGCCCCUGGUGGGCAUCCCUGGGGCGCCCACCCCUUUCUCCUUCCCUAAACGGGCACACCUGCUGUUCCCUCCGCCCCGCGAAGAAGGCCUGGGUUUCCCCUCCUUCCUGGACCCAGAUCGCCACUUCCUUUCGGCCUUCCGCAGGGAGGAGCUGCCCCGGGUGCCCGGGGGCGCUCUGGAGCCGCAUGCAGGGAUGCGGCCACUGUCGCGACGGCUGGACACGGAAGUAGGGCCCAGCGGGGAGUUCGGGGGCCCACGGGGCUUCCUCCAGGCGCGGCACCUGGAGAUGGACGCCUUCAAGCGGCACAGCUACGCCGCGGCCGACGGCGCAGGCGCUGUGGAGAACUUCGCGGCUGCGCGGCAGGUGUCCCGACAGACGUUCCUCAGCCACGGGGACGACUUCCGCUUCCAGACCAGCCACUUCCACCGGGACCAACUCUACCAGCAGCAUUACCAGUGGGAGCCACAGUUCGCACCCACACGUCCGCAGGGCCUGUUCGAGAAGCUUCGCGCCGGCCGCCCGGGCUUGGCUGACCCCGACGACUUGGCGCUGGGCGCUGGGCCGCGCUUCCCCGAGCUUGGCCCGGAGGUGCACCAGCGGCUGGAGUACGUGCCCUCCAGCGCCUCGCGCGAGGUGCGCCACGGCUCGGACCCUGCCUUCAAGCCUGGUCCUGGUGGCCUGGAACCCGGCGGGGCCCUGCGCCCCAACCUGGGCCAGCGUUUCCCAUGCCAGGCGGUGGCGAGGCAAGGCCCAGACGCUGCUCCAGAGGCAGAGCCCGAGCGCAGGCCCGGGCCAGAGGGGCGAGCGGGGCUGCGGCACUGGCGCCUCGCCUCUUACCUCAGCGGGUGCCACGAGGAUGUGGGUGAGGAGGGCCUGCCCACACCCAUGGACGCUGACGUCUACGAAGAUGACGUGCUGGCUCCUGGGGGCCGGGCGGCCUUCCGUGUCCCUGCUACCUUGCCAGUCAAGGGCCUGUUGCCAGGCCCGGGAAGCGGUGGCGGCGACAGCUCGGAGCGCGAGGGCUCGGAGGAGGCAGGCCUGGUCAGGCAGGACUCGUUCCGCUCACGCCUAAACCCACUCAUCCAGCGCAGCUCCAGGCUACGCUCCUCACUUAUCUUCGCGCAGGCUGAAGGCUCUGGAGGUGCCACAACUGCCACCACUGAGAAGGUGCAGUUGCUGCACAAGGAACAAACGGUCAACGAGACGUUGGGUCCCAGUGGAGAGGCCAUGCGCUCCACCGCCUCUGCUAAAGUGGCCGAGCUGCUGGAGAAAUACAAGGGUCCAGCCCGUGACCCAAGCGCGGGGGGAGGUGCGGUCACUGUCUCCAGCCACAGCAAGGCUGUCGUGUCCCAAGCUUGGCGGGAAGAGGUGACCGCACCCGGCGCAGCAGGGGGCGAGCACCGCAGCCUGGAGAGCUGCUUGCUUGACUUGCGUGAUUCCUUUGCCCAAAGGCUACACCAGGAGGCGGAGCGGCAGCCGGGAGCCGCCUCCCUCACGGCUGCUCAACUUCUUGACACGCUGGGCCGCAGUGGCACUGACCGCCUGCCCUCCCGCUUCCUCUCUGCCCAGGGCCGCUCCACCUCCCCGCAGGGGCGGGACAGCCCCCCGCCAGAAGUGCCUGCUGCACACCAGGUGCCCCUUUCUGAGCCCAAAGGGAGCCCCACCUCAGCCUACCCAGAGCGGAAGGGGAGCCCCACGCCAGGGUUAUCCAAUCGGAGAGGCAGCCCAACUACAGGAUUUAUUGAACAGAAGGGCAGCCCCACCUCGACCUACCCAGAACGCAGAGGUAGCCCGGUACCCCCUGUGCCUGAGCGCAGGGGCAGCCCGGUACCCCCUGUGCCUGAGCGCAGGGGCAGUCUCACCCUCGCCUCAUCCAGUGAGUCUCCUAAGGUGGGGCCCACAGAGGAGGUGGCUGGAGGCCCCAUGGAAGUCCUGCGCAAAGGCUCCCUCCGCCUCAGGCAGCUGCUGAGCCCCAAGAAUGAGCGUCGCGGGGAGGAUGAGGGCAACUUCCCAGUGCCACAGGAGAAUGGGCAGCCAGAGAGUCCCCGGCGACCAUCUUUGGGCCGAGGUGAUAGUACAGAGGCUACUGCAGGGGAUGAGCGGGGCCCAAGGGCACGGCUAUCCUCUGCCACGGCCAAUGCCUUAUACAGCAGCAACCUACGAGAUGACACUAAGGCCAUCCUGGAGCAGAUCAGCGCCCAUGGUCAGAAGCAUCGUGGGGUUCCAGGCCCAGGCCCAGCCCACAGCAGCCCCGAGCUGGGCCACUCACCAGCUCCUGGAGGCCUGGCCCCAGACAUGUCCGACAAGGACAAAUGUUCAGCCAUCUUCCGGUCAGACAGUCUGGGUACGCAAGGCCGGCUGAGCCGCACCCUACCUGCCAGCGCAGAGGACCGCGACCGCCUACUGCGCCGCAUGGAAAGCAUGCGCAAGGAGAAGCGCGUCUACAGCCGCUUUGAGGUCUUCUGUAAAAAGGAAGAGGCUGGUGGUUCUGGGGCAGGGGAUGGCCUGGCGGAGGAGGAUGCCAGGGACAGCAAGGUGGGCAAGUUCGUGCCCAAGAUCCUGGGUACACUCAAGGGCAAGAAGUGAGUGUCCUGGUCCACCAGCCCAGGCCAAGGUGCUUCCUCACUGCCACCCUGCAUCUGCUGGGCAGGGAGCUCCGUGUCCCCGUGUUUGAGUGGCAGCCACCAUCCCUCAUUCCAGAGCAGCCAAGGGGCCGGACUGGACCCACCAGAGCUCAGCUUCAGUGGGUUUCCCUGGCAGCUGCCCUGCCCUGGCCCUGGCCUGUCCUCCCAGGGUUUCAGUCCGCGGCCUGGUACCUUUUCUCACCAACCCUUGCUCCUCUGCCCCCUUCUCUCCUGCUGCUUCCAUUUCCCUGGGCUCAGAUCCCCUCUGGACCUUCACUCACCUCAGGGACCCUUCUCUCUGUGCCUCAGUCCUGCUUGCAGGGACCCAACACUUGUGCCUCAGUCUCCCCAGCUCUAGGGGUCUUUUGUCUCCUCAGGGAUUCCGUUUUCAGGGCUCUCUUCUCAGACCUGUGGUUCUGCUGCCAGCCGCUCCACCCUGCCUCCUCGCCCCUGUCCUUCACUGGCUCCCUCUCUCCUCCUGGUGCCGGUCCUCUUGUGGGGAAGGAAGGAAGAGUGUGGUUGGACCCAAAGGAAGCUUUUCUUGGGAGGCACAGGGCAGGCCUCUGAGAAGGAGGGAUGAAGGGGACCCCAGAGGGGCUGCCCUGCUGCCCAGACUGCAGCUGCCUCAGCCAAGUCUGCCCCUCGCACAGUCAAGUCCUGGGUGGCCAGGGGGAGACACCAGGAGGCGAGUCCUGGGCUCUGCAGCAUAAUAAAAUGGAGUCUGGACUGACACCCUGAAGCCAAGUCUGAUUAAGUGGCUCCCAGACAAGUGCCACACCCCAGAAGGGUGGGAUGUGGCACACUUGUCCCUGAGCUCUGGCCACCUUCCCCAGGGCAGAGGUCCUGGGAAUCCCUGCAGGUGGGGUGACCCUUGCCCUGCAGGUGCCCAGAAGACCCUAGCUCCACCUUGCCCUUGAUCCUUUCCUGUUUCAUCACCAACAUGCAAAAUCUGUCAAAGACACUC